CCUACGGGAGGCUGCAGUCGAGAAUCAUUCACAAUGGGGGAAACCCUGAUGGUGCGACGCCGCGUGGGGGAAUGAAGGUCUUCGGAUUGUAAACCCCUGUCAUGUGGGAGCAAAUUAAAAAGAUAGUACCACAAGAGGAAGCGACGGCUAACGCUGUGCCAGCAGCCGCGGUAAUACAGAGGUCUCAAGCGUUGUUCGGAAUCACUGGGCGUAAAGCGUGCGUAGGCUGUUGCGUAAGUCGUGUGUGAAAGUCGCGGGCUCAACCCGCAGACGGCACAUGAUACUGCGAGACUAGAGUAAUGGAGGGGGAACCGGAAUUCUCGGUGUAGCAGUGAAAUGCGUAGAUAUAGGGAGGAACACUCGUGGCGAAGGCGGGUUGCUGGACAUUAACUGACGCUGAGGCACGAAGGCCAGGGGAGCGAAAGGGAUUAGAUACCCCAGUAGUC
rnacentral:rRNA from 1 species